rnacentral:rRNA from 1 species
AUAUCAAUAAGCGGAGGAAAAGAAACCAACAGGGAUUGCCUCAGUAACGGCGAGUGAAGCGGCAACAGCUCAAAUUUGAAAUCUGGCCCCCUCGGGGCCCGAGUUGUAAUUUGGAGAAGAUGCUUCGGGUGUGGCCCCGGUCUAAGUUCCUUGGAACAGGACGUCACAGAGGGUGAGAAUCCCGUACGUGCCCGGUGGCCGCGCCCGUGUGAAGCUCUUUCGACGAGUCGAGUUGUUUGGGAAUGCAGCUCAAAAUGGGUGGUAAAUUUCAUCUAAAGCUAAAUAUUGGCCAGAGACCGAUAGCGCACAAGUAGAGUGAUCGAAAGAUGAAAAGCACUUUGGAAAGAGAGUUAAACAGUACGUGAAAUUGUUGAAAGGGAAGCGCUUGCAACCAGACUUGCGCGCGGCCGAUCAUCCGGUGUUCGCACCGGUGCACUCGACCGCGCGCAGGCCAGCAUCGGUUUGGGUGGCUGGACAAAGGCCUCGGGAAUGUGGCCCCCCUCGGGGGGUGUUAUAGCCCGAGGCGCAAUGCAGCCUACCCGGACCGAGGACCGCGCUUCGGCUAGGAUGCUGGCGUAAUGGUUGUAAGCGACCCGUCUUGAAACACGGACCAAGGAGUCUAACAUCUAUGCGAGUGUUUGGGUGUUAAACCCAUACGCGGAAUGAAAGUGAACGGAGGUGAGAGCCCUUAAGGGUGCAUCAUCGACCGAUCCUGAUGUCUUCGGAUGGAUUUGAGUAAGAGCAUAGCUGUUGGGACCCGAAAGAUGGUGAACUAUGCCUGAAUAGGGUGAAGCCAGAGGAAACUCUGGUGGAGGCUCGCAGCGGUUCUGACGUGCAAAUCGAUCGUCAAAUUUGGGCAUAGGGGCGAAAGACUAAUCGAACCAUCUAGUAGCUGGUUCCUGC